AUGAUAAUUAAACAAUUAAUAUUGGGGAAAAGAAUUAAAAAAAAAAAAAAAAAAAAAGCAAGCCAAAAACCCCAAACCAAACCUCAACCAAAAAAACACAAACCCCAAACCAGCAACAUGGAAACAGGCCUGACUGUGGGGAUCUGUGUGAUGCUUGAUAAGAAUGUAGAUAAAACUAGCAAGUGAGAAAACACAGUUGCCCUGCUACUUAGCAUUUCAUAUAUUAUAGGCUUCUAUACCCUGCAGAUGAUUUACGAGUGUGGCAAGACUCAACUCUGAAAGGGAAAGCAGUCUUUCUGGUGGGUGCAGAGAUGAGGUGGCGAGCUGGGCAGGCAGCUCUGAACGGGAGAGCAAGCUGGAAGCUGAGUCACAGCAAGGCAGGCAGGGGCAGUGGCCUGGCCAACAGAGUCCCACAGUACCCAGGCUAGAAGGUCUGAGCAGGGCAGGAUGAGGAUUUAGAUCAGCAGGGCAGAUGCCCAGGCAUAGCUGUGCUAGCUAAAGGUGGGGAUCAAGGUGAUAUAAGGUGAUCAAGGUGAGAUAAGCUCGCAGGCAAAUCUUGCUGAGUUAAGGUGGGGAUCAAGGGUGAGAACCUUAGCUGAGAUAAGCUCGCAGGCAAAUCUUGCUGAGGUUUCUCAAAGCCAGACAACCUCUAUUUGUUUAACCUGUAACCUGCAGCCAAUCUCCCAGAAGAUGGAUAAUAUACGCAGGGCCCUGACAUUCUUCUUCCAGCCUGCUCAGAGCCAUCUCGUCUUGCACAGUCAUGCUUUCUUGGUGUUCCUUCACCAGACAGCAAAGCUCUACCUAUGGUUGUGUUGAAGUCUUGUGGCCUGGAUAAAGAUGUGAAGUCUUAACCUUUUAAGUGAGCUGAAAGAAUGAGACCAGUAAAUUCUGGUGUCACUGUCAAAUAUUCUAGCAUCUGUGGUGGCAAAAAAAUCUACAUUUUUUUCAGAUCUAGGCUCAAAAUUUUGGUGAAUAGGGUGGAUACGUUUCACAGGUCCUGGCCAGGCAGAAGGUGAAGGAUCUUGUCCAUAAGUUAUAGUGAAGCUUCUCUGACUUUUUGGUAGGUACUUGCAGCAAAAAGGGUUGAAUAGCCGAAGAGGGUAUUUCUUGAAUGGGAGGAUUUUCAGGUGAGGUGUACGUAAGGGAGGUGCUGGGGUAUAUUCUUUGAGCAUAGAAGACUGGGAAA
rnacentral:lncRNA from 1 species